AGGAUUAACGCUGGCGGCGUGCCUAACACAUGCAAGUCGAACGAGGUAGCAAUACCUAGUGGCAGACGGGUGAGUAACGCGUGGUCAACCUACCGUUGAGUGGGGGAUAACUAGCCGAAAGGUUAGCUAAUACCGCAUACGAGUUUCGGGGGCAUCCCCGGAUCUUAAAAGGAGCAAUCCGCUCGAUGACGGGACCGCGUCCCAUUAGCUAGAUGGUGGGGUAACGGCCUACCAUGGCACCGAUGGGUAGCUGGUUUGAGAGAGCGACCAGCCACACUGGGACUGAGAAACGGCCCAGACUCCUACGGGAGGCAGCAGUGAGGAAUUUUCCGCAAUGGGCGAAAGCCUGACGGAGCGACGCCGCGUGUGGGAGAAGGCCUUCGGGUCGUAACCACUGUCGAAGGGACGAUAAUGACGGUACCCUUGGAGGAAGCCCCGGCUAACUACGCGCCAGCAGCCGC
rnacentral:rRNA from 1 species